rnacentral:rRNA from 1 species
UACGAAGGGAGCUAGCGUUGUUCGGAAUUACUGGGCGUAAAGGGCGCGUAGGCGGGUUUCCAAGUCGGGGGUGAAAUUCCAGGGCUCAACCCUGGGACGGCCUUCGAUACUGGGAGCCUGGAGAUCGGGAGAGGUGAGUGGAAUUCCGAGUGUAGAGGUGAAAUUCGUAGAUAUUCGGAGGAACACCAGAAGCGAAGGCGGCUCACUGGCCCGAGACUGACGCUGAGGCGCAAAAGCGUGGGGAGCAAACAGG